rnacentral:lncRNA from 1 species
GAAACAAAAUCAGGCUUAAAAAAAUAGACAAUACUAAAUUAUAGUGUCCAGGAAUGCACAUUUAUGUGAUAAAACUGUGAAAUGUGAUUAUUACUAUAAAACUUGGAAAAGCCUACCAUUGGGAAGAAAGGAGGUAUUUGAGAUAUGGAUGAGAAAUAUAAACAGUAUUUUCUAGAAGAAUGGUGAAGAUCUGAAUUAGGCAGACCUUGUGCGGUGUUCAACUUACAGCAACACACUAAGCUAUGCAUAUUUUUGUGUGUUUUUCAUAUUUGUGUUAGUUAUUUUACAAUUAAAAGUUUAAAACAAUGAAGACACAGAAGUUUGAAUGUUAUUUUUUUUUUCCUCUCAAGCCAGUUCUGUGGUUGUCAUCUUUGUGAUCUGAGGUCUUAUUAAAGUUAAAAUGUACUUGAAGAGGGGGGACACACCAUUACCUGACUGAUGGUGUGCUCAGUUUAGCAGAUAAUCCCCACUGUUCAAAACAGAUAUCAUUCCUUCUGCUGUACAGAAUUUCUCUACAUGGUAUUUGCCUCCAGGGAAAAAUAAUGUGACACAGGCUUGUUGUCCCUCGUGAGGAUUUCAACCACCUUGAUGUCAGGGUAGCAAUGCCCAGUGGGCUAAACUGUUGCCCUAAGUGGCUUACUUAUGUCUUUGCACUCCUCGAAUAGCUGCUUACAAUGUCCACAAAAGCAGUGCUUUCCAGACACUCGAGUUAAUCUUUAUUUAAUCUAGCCCUCCAUUGUGAGUACAUUGUCACCUGGGAAUUGUAAGAAGAAAAAUGAGUCACCAGGACUUGCAUGUUGUGGAAGACAAGCCCCGCUCCCCCCAUCCUCUCUGAGCAGUCUUGAAAAUUAGAUCUUUUAUUGCUUCGUGAUUCACUAAGUGUUUGCAAUCACUGGCCACACAUUUAGUUGUUUUCAAGAUGGAUGUUUCUAAAGGAAUUAUUUCUUCAUCUCAUGGUGAGGCUCUUUUUAUCUUCCAGACACUUCAAUUACUGACAGAAAGUGGACACAAGAGGCUCGCGUAGCAGGGUUUCAUUCGGGUGUCAGGGCUUGGGCAAGGUGGAGAAGCUGUGUUUUCCCUUUUGCUAAAUGAUUGAUGAACCAUUGAGCCUGCUUGGUGGACACUCACCCAGAUUUUUCUUUCUUGUUUUAUUAUGGUUUUGUGUGGUAUUGUGUGUAUGAUGUGUGCACUUGUUAGUGUAGGAGUGAGGUUGUGGGUAUUCCUGCAUUUGUAUAAGAGAUUUCAGGUGAUGACAGUCCCAGUUUUCAGUUUUGGAGACAGGCUCUCUUGUUGGACCUGAAGCUCGGGAGUUUGGCUAGGCUAACUGGCUAGUGAGAUUCAGGGAUCUCCACCUGUCUGUCUCCCAUCCCAGUGCUAGGGUUUUAGGACAACACUUGACUUCCUUAUGGGGGUCUGGGGAUAUGAGUUCAGGCCCUCAUGUUGUCAUGGCGGGCAUUUUAUUGACUGAGCGUUUUCUCUAGUUCCACUGACAAGGAUUUCUGAAACUCUAUGCAGUACCUCCUCCCCUCCUCUCCUGUUUGUCAAUGUCUUAAAAAAAUAAUGGAGCUAUGUAAUGUUAACUGUACCGGUCAACUUCUUAAUUUAUUUUGCAAAACUCAUGUUGAAUAAAUGCUAUGAUAAACAACCCUAAAGUGACUUGGAAGGGUAGAAGGGCAAGUAUUUGCGUAAAGCCACUGAAUGCGUUUUAGAAAUACCUUUGCAGAUAUACUAUUACUGAGAUGCUGUGGCAAUCGAAAGGGCAUUGAAGUAUC